UGUAUUUUUAGUAGAGACAGUGUUUCACCAUCUUGGCUGUUACACGCCUCCGUAUAAGAGACCACCUGAGCAGGCUUAGUGGAGCAACAAGGCUGUUUAUUCACUUGGGUGCAAGUGGGCUGAGUCAGAGAAAGGAGUCAGCGAAGGGUGGUGGGAGUGGAACUGGUUCUAUAGGUUUGGGGUAGGUAGUGGAAAGUUACAGUUAGGGGCAGUUUUUUUGGGCAGGGGAAGAAUGUUACAAGGUGCAUAGUCACAAGGUGGGGGAAGUCAUAAGGCACGAUAUCACAAGGUGGAUGGAUUAGUUGGGGAAGGGCAGGAACAUAUCACAAGGUGGAUGGAUUAAUUAGGGUAGGGAAGGAACAUAUCACAAGGUGGAUGGAUUAGUUAGGGUAGGGCAGGAACAUGUCACAGUGGUGGAUGGAUUAGUUAGGGUAGGGCAGGAACAUGUCACAAGGUGGAUGGAUUAGUUGGGGAAGGGCAGGAACAAUCACAAGGUGGAUGGAUUAGUUGGGGAAGGGCAGGAACAUAUCACAAGGUGGAUGGAUUAGUUGGGGAAGGGCAGGAACAUGUCACAAUGGUGGAUGGAUUAGUUGGGGAAGGGCAGGAACAUGUCACAAUGGUGGAUGGAUUAGUUGGGGAAGGGCAGGAACAUAUCACAAGGUGGAUGGAUUAGUUAGGGUAGGGCAGGAACAUGUCACAGUGGUGGAUGGAUUAGUUGAGGAAGGGCAGGAACAUGCCACAAGGUGGAUGGAUUAGUUGGGGAAGGGCAGGAACAUAUCACAAGGUGGAUGGAUUAGUUAGGGUAGGGCAGGAACAUGUCACAGUGGUGGAUGGAUUAGUUGAGGAAGGGCAGGAACAUGCCACAAGGUGGAUGGAUUAGUUGGGGAAGGGCAGGAACAUAUCACAAGGUGGAUGGAUUAGUUAGGGUAGGGAAGGAACAUAUCACAAGGUGGAUGGAUUAGUUGGGGAAGGGCAGGAACAUAUCACAGUGGUGGAUGGAUUAGUUGGGGAAGGGCAGGAACAUAUCACAAGGUGGAUGGAUUAGUUGGGGAAGGGCAGGAACAUAUCACAGUGGUGGAUGGAUUAGUUGGGGGAAGGGCAGGAACAUAUCACAAGGUGGAUGGAUUAGUUAGGGUAGGGCAGGAACAUAUCACAGUGGUGGAUGGAUUAGUUGGGGAAGGGCAGGAACAAUCACAAGGUGGAUGGAUUAGUUGGGGAAGGGCAGGAACAUAUCACAAGGUGGAUGGAUUAGUUGGGGAAGGGCAGGAACAUGUCACAAUGGUGGAUGGAUUAGUUGGGGAAGGGCAGGAACAUGUCACAAUGGUGGAUGGAUUAGUUGGGGAAGGGCAGGAACAUAUCACAAGGUGGAUGGAUUAGUUGGGGAAGGGCAGGAACAUAUCACAAGGUGGAUGGAUUAGUUGGGGAAGGGCAGGAACAUAUCACAAGGUGGACUGUUGCAAGGUCGGUUAAUCAUUAAGGCAGGAACUAGCUGUUCCGUCUUCUUUAGUGGUUCUCCUGUUGCUCCAGGCUUUGUGACUCCAGGAGGCCUGUAACGUGUGGGUCACAGGGGUCACAAUGGCUCGACCAUGGGGUAGCCCAUUCAGGGGACCUUCCACUGGCCAGGUUGGUCUUGAACUCGUGACCUCAUGAUCCACCCGCCUCGGCCUCCCAAAGUGCUGGAAUUACAGGCGUGAGCCACCGCGUCCCGCCCAAAGCUGCAUAAUUUUUUAUCCUCAAAAGUUAAGCAGCUUUCCUUCCCCUACAGUCAGUGUUAUAAGUGAGUCACUAACGUCAGCCCACUUUUGAGUAGAGGGGACAUAGAUUCCCACAGCUCAAUGGGAGGAGUGUCAAAAAAAUGUAUGAGCAUAUUUUAAAACCAUUGCAAAGUAUGUCAUGGGGAGAGUGUCCAGAGGAGAGAUGACUGAGUUGGGUUAAAUUGCCAGGCCAGGCACAGUGGCUCAUGUCUGUAAUCCCAGCAUUUCGGGAGGCCGAGGCGGUAAAAUCUCUUGAGGCCAGGAGUUUGAGACCAGCUUGGGAAACAUAGCGAGACCCCCAUCUCUACAAAAAAUUUAAAAAUUAGCCAGGUGUGGUGGUGCAUGCCUAUGGUCCCAGCUACUUGGGAGGCUUAGGUGAGAGGAUCGCUUGAGCCCAGGAGUUCGAGGCUGCGUUGGGCCACGACUGCACCACUGCACUCCAGCCUGAGUGACAGGGUGAGACCGUCUCAAAAAUAAAUGAAUAAAUAAAUAAAUUGCCAGGCCACAGAAAAUGCUUAAGUAUUACAACUGGUAAAUCAUAAGAGUUAUGGUUGAUGUGGCUCCCAGUCAGUUGAGUGGUAAUGGGGCUGGUGGACUCAUGUUUGGGAACGAAGAAGAGAGAAGGUUCAAGAGUGAGAACUGAAAUCACUGCUGUCUCUCCAUCCCUGUCCCAGGGGAAAAUCCAUUGCCCAGCCAUUACCAGCUCCUUGAGACUGCCUGCAUUUCUUGGCUCGAGACCCCUUCUUCGGAUCUCCCCAGUCUCUUGCCUCUGCCAGCACAUCCCCUGCCACUGACCCUGACUCUCCUGUAUCCCUCUCAGAAGGAUCUUGUGAUUACAUGGGGUCCAUGUCGAUAAUCCUGCAUGACUUCCCCACUUCAAAAUCCUUAGUCAUAUCUGCAAAAUCCCUUUCACCAUCUAAAAUAACAUACUCAUGGGUUCUGGGGUUUAGGGGCCCAAUGCUCCUAGUACCUUUCAUGGGAAUCUUUACCUCCAGAAAUGGGGAGAAGUGGGCAGGGACUCCCUUCAUACACAAGACACGGCUGCCUCCUGCCACAACCCCAAAUACUUAUACACUUGCCUUUUUACAUCUGAGCUGGAACGACCCCACCUCAAUGUCAUGGGGCCAGGGUGGGAGACAGAGGAGCUACAACAUCUGCUUGGCUAUUGUUAGGGACAAACAAAGCAGCCACGGUUGCUUAGUGAUGACUUCUGGUUCCACCUGAGUGCUUUGGCCACCCAUAUUGCUCUCAGAGCUCUUUAAAGAUGAGUUAUUGUGCCCGGAGUGGUGGCUGAUGCCUGUAAUCCCAGGACUUUGGGAGGCUGAAGUGGACAGAUCACCUGAUGUUAGGAGUUCAAGACCAGCCACCUAACCAACAUGGAGAAACCCCAUCUCUACUAAAAGUACGAAAUUAGCAGGGCAUGGUGGCGCAUGCCUGUAAUCCCAGCUACUCUGGAG
rnacentral:lncRNA from 1 species